rnacentral:rRNA from 1 species
GAUGAACGCUGGCGGCGUGCCUAAUACAUGCAAGUCGAGCGAACGGACGAGAAGCUUGCUUCUCUGAUGUUAGCGGCGGACGGGUGAGUAACACGUGGAUAACCUACUUAUAAGACUGGGAUAACUUCGGGAAACCGGAGCUAAUACCGGAUAAUAUUUUGAACCGCAUGGUUCAAAAGUGAAUGACGGUCUUGCUGUCACUUAUAGCUGGAUCCGCGCUGCAUUAGCUAGUUGGUAAGGUAACGGCUUACCAAGGCUACGAUGCAUAGCCGACCUGAGAGGGUGAUCGGCCACACUGGAACUGAGACACGGUCCAGACUCCUACGGGAGGCAGCAGUAGGGAAUCUUCCGCAAUGGGCGAAAGCCUGACGGAGCAACGCCGCGUGAGUGAUGAAGGUCUUCGGAUCGUAAAGCUCUGUUAUUAGGGAAGAACAGAUGUGUAAUUAACUGUGCACAUCUUGACGGUACCGAAUCAGAAAGCCACGGCUAACUACGUG